rnacentral:ncRNA from 1 species
AGAAACGCUAUGAUGGAAAAGAGUAGGGAAGUUUACCGUUACAGAGAGUUGGUGGAAGCUGCGAACCAACACGGAGGCUUUCUGAAAAGCAUUCCGGAGCGGGUAGCGAAAAAUUCGGCCCUUAGGCCGAAACAAGCUAUUCCGGCAAUGCCGUUAUACGCAUUAAGGGGCUCGUUUUUUAACGAGCAAUCAGGGUGGCACCGCGGGAAAAACCUCUCGUCCCAUGG